CUGUCUCUCACACACACAGAACAGUCACCACCAAACCUGACGCCCGCUCACCACUGACGGUCUCUCUCUCUCUCGAGCCAUCUCUCUCUCUCUCUCUCUCCCUUUUUCUAUUUCCCCAUUUCUCACACUUGAUCUAGGGUUUUAUAUGAUUUUUUUAGUUUAAUUUUGUGUUGAUUUCUUAAAUGGGCUUGGUUGAAGUGUUUGAUUGCUAUGAAAUUAUGUUCUUCCUGAUGUCAAAAAUGGCUUUGAUUUUCAUUUUAUGGGUUUCACAAAGAAAAAAUUUUGAUGUAAAAAAUCAAAAUCAAUGAACAAUUUGAAAAGAGGUGAAGGUUAAUUAUAGAAAUAAGAUAAAUUCCAAGAAUUUCCUUGAAAGUUAAUUACAGAAAUAAGAUAAAUUCUAGGAAGUUCCUUGAAAAUCCUGGAACCAAAAAUAUCAAAAAAUAAGAAUCCUAAGGUCGUAGAUUAACAGAGUGACUGAUUUAAGGGCUUUAGAGUACUUUACAACUGAGCUUGAAGGGGUUCCUCCACUGCCUGCUGGUGUUUCAGCCUUAGCUGCGAAGAACAAGGGGAUGGAUAAUUACAAAUAGGGGCAGUAUGUUGAUACCAUAAAGUGGCUUUCUUAGGCUGUGAUUCUUCCUGAGAAAAUUGGUGAUGAUGCUACUUCCAUGGAGGUCUUAUCCAGCAGGGCUUCAUGUUACAAAGAAGUUGGGGAGUAUAAAAAGACUGGCAGAUUGUACAAAGAGUUUCAAAAGCUUAUGAUUUAGCAACUGAAGUUUAUAUGUCUGGUUUUGACCGUUCAAAGCCCCCUGAGGAAGCUGCACUAAGGGAAGCACACAGAGAAGCAUUUCAAAAAUCGAUGUCUGCAUUUAAUGGUAGUGCUGUAGGGGCUAGUUCAACAAGGCAGAAAUAUGAAAAGCGUCUCCAGAACUUCUUAAGGAAGGCAUUUGAGGAAAGGAUGUGGUGAUUCUACCAAAUUAAAUGCGUGGAAUGUGUUUUGAGAGUACAAGGCUCUUACCCUUCUGCUAUAAUUAUUUUGGAUAAGCCAAGGGCUUUGUAAGUAUGGAAUUGAAAACCACUUUUGUGUAACCAGGCUUAAGCCUUAGAAUUGUAACCCUUGAGGGCAUUAAUGUACACUUGACUUAUAUUGCCACAUGCUAUAGAUUCAUAUUCUAGAAAUGUUGAAUGUAUACUCGCAUGUGGAACUUUUGUAAAUCUCUUGAUAUCUUAAUGAAUAUACAUGUUUG